UCAUAUCAUAUCAGAUCAGAUCACAUUUCCUUUUUUUUUUGUUUUUUUUUGGGGGGUUUCAUAUUGAGAUAUGAUGUAGCAGAAGUUGAGAUUUGAAGCAUCUUCUUAUCCAACAGACACAUAUAUCCCUUGGAAAUCACUAACAUGCUACCAUAUGGGUAAUAGCAUUUCUAUCCCUAACAUAUUCUAAUCAAAUUAACAAAAUCCAUAUUCUUAGCAUGACAUCAUUUAGGGCAUAAAUUUUUGGAUAUUAUCAGCAAACCCUAACACUAAGAAGAACAAAAGCAAAUAAAAUAAAAUAAUAAUAAUAAUCAAAUUUUAGAUAUGCCCUCUUAAUUAGGCAAAGCAGCAGCUGACAUGUCUAACAACCAUAUGUACAUGUAUAUGUAUAUCCAUCCUUCCUUUCCAAGACGCAGUGGAGGCAUUGAUUUUCCUGACGAUGAAGAUAUUGUAUUUGGCAAAGCAAUGUGCAAUGAUUUUUCAGAGGAUGGAACAUGCAUCAAUUGCAGGGCUAACACACAUCUCCUUGGAUUGGAAAAUGUACCUGGCCUGAUGCACCUACACGUCAGGCGUCAGGAAUCAGCUAUAUAUACGGGCUGCUGCUACUGCUCUAUCCAGAAGAUAUGACUGCAAACAAUCAGCUCCACUGAAUUGAAUCUUGAUAACCCUACCAAUAUCAUUAAUAAUUGAGACUCUUUAUAAUAUAUUUCUGGCCUUGAUUUGCCACUUUUAUCUCAUUGGUUUUCUUUUCUUUUUUUCUCCCUGCUAUUUCAGAAAUUUUUAUAUUUUCUUUUUCUUCUUUGAAAAACCUUGUUUCCAGUCGUCCGCAGGCAUCUUGAAUUAAUUUCGCUCCUCAGACGAGUAUACAUGAGUACAUU
rnacentral:lncRNA from 1 species